rnacentral:rRNA from 1 species
GAUGAACGCUGGCGGCGUGCCUAAUACAUGCAAGUCGAGCGAACGGACGAGAAGCUUGCUUCUCUGAUGUUAGCGGCGGACGGGUGAGUAACACGUGGAUAACCUACCUAUAAGACUGGGAUAACUUCGGGAAACCGGAGCUAAUACCGGAUGAUAUUUUGAACCGCAUGGUUCAAAAGUGAAAGACGGUCUUGCUGUCACUUAUAGAUGGAUCCGCGCUGCAUUAGCUAGUUGGUAAGGUAACGGCUUACCAAGGCAACGAUGCAUAGCCGACCUGAGAGGGUGAUCGGCCACACUGGAACUGAGACACGGUCCAGACUCCUACGGGAGGCAGCAGUAGGGAAUCUUCCGCAAUGGGCGAAAGCCUGACUGAGCAACGCCGCGUGAGUGAUGAAGGUCUUCGGAUCGUAAAACUCUGUUAUUAGGGAAGAACAUAUGUGUAAGUAACUGUGCACAUCUUGACGGUACCUAAUCAGAAAGCCGCGGCUAACUACGUG